UUAAUUUCGGACUUUAAGAAGCCAUGAACGCAGCUUGGUCGUAAUAAAAUCUAGCAUGUAAAUAAUGUAGGAUUUCCUUUUAAUUUUUAGAGACGCAAUGAAAAAAUAGAAAAUUAGUCGCUUUAGGAUAUCCUUUAAAAUAAAAUGAGCCAUGCCUCGCCGAAACAAAUUCUAAAUCGCGGGGCCCUCAAUUAAAAGGACCUAAUAAGUAAAUAGACUUCGGAAUAGGCCAUUUAGCGAAUUCCAUGGCAUUUUC
rnacentral:lncRNA from 1 species